AAUUGUUUACUGUUGAAAACCCAUGUUUUUCGGAAUUACUUUUUGAAACACUACACAAAUAACAAUGAUACAAUAACAAUUUUAUUGAAAUUUUACCGUUAGUAAUGAGGGAAUGUCUUGCUGAAUGAAAUCAGCAAGUUGUUUUGUUUUAAAACCUAUUAUCUGAAAAAGUAAUCGGAGAAAAUAUUGGGAAAAUCGAAUAUAGUACCAGCCUUUAUACGUUUUUUAUGGGGUUCACGUGAAAGCCGAAUAGAAAACCAACUCUUAUACCUGUGUGAAGUUAACGACGUCGCUAAAGGUGCCAUCAUACUACAUGUUCUUGUCUUGUUAAAGUUGAUAUACCAAUAAAAGUUGUGAUACGAAUAAAAAUAUAACAUGAAAAUCGCUCUGUUAUUUUUUCCGUUCACCUUCUGAUAAAAACAUAAGGACAUCUGCUGUUGUUGUUGUUAUAUCAUACAAAACUAACAUACUAUUGUGGUAGCAAAAAUGAUGAAUCGUAUGCAAAAUUGGCAAUUUCGGCACACAUAAUGAAAUACCAAAGUGACAUAUAAUGGGACAAGAACAUGUAGUGUGUAGGAUGCACUUAUAAGGGUGACACAAAGUGGCAAAAAAUAUAAAAAGUACGGACAUUUUCAACCACUUUCUGUCGAUGGCAGAAAAUUACCUCCGUGAAGUGAUUGACGUCGUGUAAUGUACAAAUGUUUACUAUCUUUCAAAGGUUUCAUGGAUCCAGGGUUCCCUGACGGAUUUCGCUGUAUUCGGGUGCCUCAAGAUGGUAGUACUGGUGUUGAAAUUGUGGAGAACAAAGUAGAGAGGGAGCCGUUUAACAACUAGCUUCAGUCGGGAGGGGGUUCAGUUCUACUUUGAUCUCUCAAUCCUUACAUCCGGACAUAAACAAAAAGUUAUUCCAGAUUCCCUAAGUUGUAAACACAAAUAAAUGAAAAUUAACUGAGCUCGACUGGACUGGAACUAAUCACGACGACAUGACCCCUAUGAUUAGUCUAAGAAAGAAACCUAUGGAGAAGAAUUAUAGCAUCAUCUUAAUUUACGGAUUCCAGGAUGUUUCGGAAUCCAUUGCCUCUUAACCCAACCAUGGUUUUAGUGGGUGCAUUUGAACUAAAACCCCAAAUUCUGCACCUACUUUACCUUUAAAUCACCAACGUAAAAAGUCGUUUACCAACACAUUUUAAAGAAUAAAUACAUAUUUAAAACAAAA